CCUACGGGAGGCAGCAGUAGGGAAUCUUCCACAAUGGGCGAAAGCCUGAUGGAGCAACGCCGCGUGGGUGAAGAAGGUCUUCGGAUCGUAAAACCCUGUUGUUAGAGAAGAAAGUGCGUGAGAGUAACUGUUCACGUUUCGACGGUAUCUAACCAGAAAGCCACGGCUAACUACGUGCCAGCAGCCGCGGUAAUACGUAGGUGGCAAGCGUUAUCCGGAUUUAUUGGGAGUAAAGGGAACGCAGGCGGUCUGUUAAGUCUGAUGUGAAAGCCUGCGGCUUAACCGGAGUAUUGCAUUGGAAACUGGGAGACUUGAGUGCAGAAGAGGAGAGUGGAACUCCAUGUGUAGCGGUGAAAUGCGUAGAUAUAUGGAAGAACACCAGUGGCGAAAGCGGCUCUCUGGGCUGUAACUGACGCUGAGGUUCGAAAGCGUGGGUAGCAAACAGGAUUAGAUACCCUUGUAGUC
rnacentral:rRNA from 1 species